CCUACGGGAGGCAGCAGUGGGGGAUAUUGCACAAUGGGGGGAACCCUGAUGCAGCGACGCCGCGUGAGCGAUGGAGUACUUCGGUAUGUAAAGCUCUGUCAGCAGGGAAGAAAAUGACGGUACCUGACCAAGAAGCCCCGGCUAAAUACGUGCCAGCAGCCGCGGUAAUACGUAUGGGGCAAGCGUUAUCCGGAUUUACUGGGUGUAAAGGGAGCGCAGGCGGCGUGGCAAGUCAGAUGUGAAAACCCGGGGCCCAACCCCGGGAGUGCAUUUGAAACUGCCAUGCUGGAGUGCCGGAGAGGUAAGCGGAAUUCCGAGUGUAGCGGUGAAAGGCGUAGAUAUUAGGAGGAACACCAGUGGCGGAGGCGGCGUACUGGACGGUAACUGACGCUGAGGCUCGAAAGCGUGGGGAGCAAACAGGAUUAGAUACCCGGGUAGUC
rnacentral:rRNA from 1 species